AAUCCUUCUUCCGGUUCUUUGCCUAGCCCACAGCAUUCCUGUAUUGCCCUUGGCAGAAAGAUUAAGGGCUGCUUUGUAGAGAGAGGCUCAGGUCUGAUGCUCUUUACUAUGGGAGCUUGGUACCAGCACCAAAGUCCAUCUGCCUGUCUCAGUUUGUAAGGAGUCCACCCCAAGAGCAGAGUCUACAGUGAUGCCACCCAACUGGCAAGUGGCCUGGCCGACAAGCCUUCUGAACACUGCUCUCAGACUCUGAAGUACCAACCAGUACCCAUCAAGACAGGGCUGACUUAUCAUGGCUUCCAAGGCCCUGCCUACCCCAGCCUCUCUGCCUGCUUCAGCUCCACUCAGAAUGAACUCAGUCCCAUCAAUGCAGACUCAUGCUGAACCCGGUCUGAAGCCCACACUUGACCGUCAAUCUAACCCAGCCUACUGCCCAAGCCCUUCAAGGCGGCUUCUCCUUGGAUAUCUUCAAGGAUAACUCACUUUCUCUCUCUCGACAUCAGGACCUGGCUGCAAGCGCCCUGCGUACCCUGCUGUUCCAGGCUCUUGUCAUGCCCUCCUGGGACCUCAGAUUUCUGACUCUCCUACUUGACAUCUCCAAAGGAGAUCCAAAAGGCCUUUCGGCAGAGCUUGUCUGAGUGUCUCCAUCUUAGUAAAUGGCACCUGAAUCUGGAAGCUUCCACUGGGCUAUCCCUCACCUUCAUUUUCCUAUCCAUCAGCAGGGCCUGAUGGCUCCUGACCUCAUGGAAGGUCCUGAUGCUGUCCCCUCCAACUCAUCUGCUCUUGUCUCGGGGAGGACCACUGUUAUCUCUCCUGAAAGAACAACAUUGCCUCCUGGGGCUACCUGCUGGCAUGGCAGACAGAAAACUUUUAGAAAAUGCAAGCCAGGAUUUUUAUGAUGUUUAUUUAUUUAGCAAUUGAUUGAUUGAUUGAUUGAUUGAUUGACUGAAGGUCUUGCUACGCUGCCUUGACCUUAAGUGAUCUUCCUGACUCUUAUAGAGAGAACUGCAGGUACCUGGCUUUGUGCCUAGCUCCCAAGCGUUUCUUUCUUUCUUUUUAAUUAUAUUUUUAUUUAUGUGUAUGAC